rnacentral:rRNA from 1 species
AUUGAACGCUGGCGGCAUGCUUUACACAUGCAAGUCGAACGGUAACAGCACUUCGGUGGCUGACGAGUGGCGAACGGGUGCGUAAUACAUCGGAACGUGCCUAGUAGUGGGGGCUAACUACUCGAAAGAGUAGCUAAUACCGCAUGAGAUCUAAGGAUGAAAGCCGGGGACCUUCGGGCCUUGCGCUACUAGAGCGGCUGAUGGCAGAUUAGGUAGUUGGUGGGAUAAAAGCUUACCAAGCCGACGAUCUGUAGCUGGUCUGAGAGGACGACCAGCCACACUGGGACUGAGACACGGCCCAGACUCCUACGGGAGGCAGCAGUGGGGAAUUUUGGACAAUGGGCGCAAGCCUGAUCCAGCAAUGCCGCGUGCAGGAUGAAGGCCUUCGGGUUGUAAACUGCUUUUGUACGGAACGAAAAGCCCUCUUCUAAUACAGGAGGGUCAUGACGGUACCGUAAGAAUAAGCACCGGCUAACUACGUG